UUGCUAUAUUUUUAUAAUUAUCUUUUUAUUUUCUCUAAUGAUGAUUCAAACUUAAUUAAUAGAUAUUGAAGGAAAUGGCUCCAUAGAUUGCUAUGGGCUCUUUUUUUUGUUCUCAUAUUAUGGUUAAAACCUAAUGGAUGCUGAUGGAUUUUGUUUGCUAUUUUCGAGAAUAAUAGAAGAUUUUACGCAAUGAGAACUGAUCUCUUCUUCUGCAUGUUCAGAGUCCUACAUCUUUUUUUCU
rnacentral:lncRNA from 1 species